rnacentral:rRNA from 1 species
CGAUAGGGCGUACUGACGUACUACAGAAGCACGGCUACUACGUGCCAGCAGCGUGUAUACGUAGUGGCAAGCGUCGUCAGAAUUAUUGGGCGUAAAGCGCGCGCAGGCGGUUUCUUAAGUCUGAUGUGAAAGCCCCCGGCUCAACCGGGGAGGGUCAUUGGAAACUGGGGAACUUGAGUGCAGAAGAGGAGAGUGGAAUUUCCACGUGUAGCGGUGAAAUGCGUAGAGAUGUGGAGGAACACCAGUGGCGAAGGCGACUCUCUGGUCUGUAACUGACGCUGAGGCGCGAAAGCGUGGGGAGCGAACAGGAUUAGAUACCCUGGUAGUCCACGCCGUAAACGAUGAGUGCUAAGUGUUAGAGGGUUUCCGCCCUUUAGUGCUGCAGCAAACGCAUUAAGCACUCCGCCUGGGGAGUACGGUCGCAAGACUGAAACUCAAAGGAAUUGACGGGGGCCCGCACAAGCGGUGGAGCAUGUGGUUUAAUUCGAAGCAACGCGAAGAACCUUACCAGGUCUUGACAUCCUCUGACAACCCUAGAGAUAGGGCUUCCCCUUCGGGGGCAGAGUGACAGGUGGUGCAUGGUUGUCGUCAGCUCGUGUCGUGAGAUGUUGGGUUAAGUCCCGCAACGAGCGCAACCCUUGAUCUUAGUUGCCAGCAUUCAGUUGGGCACUCUAAGGUGACUGCCGGUGACAAACCGGAGGAAGGUGGGGAUGACGUCAAAUCAUCAUGCCCCUUAUGACCUGGGCUACACACGUGCUACAAUGGGCAGAACAAAGGGCAGCGAAGCCGCGAGGCUAAGCCAAUCCCACAAAUCUGUUCUCAGUUCGGAUCGCAGUCUGCAACUCGACUGCGUGAAGCUGGAAUCGCUAGUAAUCGCGGAUCAGCAUGCCGCGGUGAAUACGUUCCCGGGCCUUGUACACACCGCCCGUCACACCACGAGAGUUGUACACCCGAAGUCGGUGAGGUACCUUUGGAGCCCUGCCGCCAAAGUGACCGAAUA